AAUUUUAGUGUGUAAUUAUAAUUAUUCUUAACUUGCAUUAUUUAUGGCAUGCAAGCUUUAUGGAUAUUUAGUGGAUGGUUAGAUACAGCCUUAAUUUUUAAACCACUUUGCAUAUCAUAAAAACAUUGUGCCCUUUUGUUUUUCCUGUGUGUUUCAAGGAAAUUGUAGUUAUAUGAAGAAUAAGGGUAAUUUUGCUUUUGUUUUCCCUUUUGCAUAUGUUUGGACAAUUAGAUGUAGCUAACGUGGUAACAAACAUUUAAAAGUUCUCCACAGCUUCAUGGACGGUGACCUGGAAUCCUUUCUAGUAUUUGUAAAUGGUAAUUUAGUUUCAUGCAGUACCCAUGAGUAGUUUCUGUAAAAAGCAACUUAUAUUGAUAAAAAUCUGAAGCAAUAUUUGAAAGGAAAAAUGAACAAUAUACUGUUUUAGUGGGACUGAAGAGGAAAAGAGAAAAUAAAGAGAAAAAGGAAGAAAUGAGCAAUACCCCUUUCAGUGGGCAUGAAGCAGAAAAGGAAAAAGGAAAGAAAAGAAAAGGGGAGUAGGGGAAAUCCCUAAUAAAUUUCACAAUUCUUGUGUCGACACCUGUAGGUAGUUCUCUUUAUUUAUAGUAUAGGCUGUUUAUGGAUUGUUUAGGACAUUUUUCAAGUGAAUCCUGGUUUAGCUGGAGCUCUAAUAGGUAGGGCAUUCUGACUGCUUAAUGCCUGAAUUAGAAGCUUUGGCAUAAUGCCUUUCGCUAUGGUUAAAGAUGAAGAGCUUCAGGAAUGUAUUGUCCAAAAAGAGGAGGAAUAUCAAACCUUGGAAGACUUUGGAGUUGAUAUUUUAUCUAACUCCUAAACUCCUAUUGAUGUUUUUACGCAGGUAUUUUUCUAGAUCCAAGAAAACGUGAAGAUGCUUACUUCAAAAGUGUGAGACUCACCAUUGUUGACAACUUUUAAGAAGGCAACAUGGUGUGCUAUUUGCUAACAAAAUUCCUAAUUCUCUUACACUUCAAAAUCAAUGACGGGUUUAUUCCAGGUAGUGGAGAAUAGUUUGGGAAUUAUCAAUAUAAUAUUUUGAUGAGUUUUGUUAGUGUAGGAGUAUAUGAGGUGCUAAUUUCCAAGGAUAGGGAAUGACAUGUUCCUUGUUUUUUCAUGAGCCAAGAAACAUGACCAAGAGGAUAGGUAUAUUGGAACACAACUUCAAGGCUAAAUACUCCCCGAGGUGCCAAAUUUCAAUCUAGUCUGAGUCUGACGUUCUUCCUAUUUUGGAUUUCUCAUGCAACGAAAAUUUUUUCCCCAACUCUAUGAAGGACAUUUAAUUAUUUUGCAUAUUCUAGUUAGGACUUACAUUUUUUCUAAUUUUAUUUAGGCUUUCUAAUGAUAUGAAUUAUCUAAAUUUUCUAGUUAGUAGAACUAUAUUUCUAUUGGAUUUAGGAGUCAACCUUUAUAAAUGCCCAGAUAUCCUAUGUAAUUUUAUCUUUUCUAGAGUUUAUGAUUAAAAAAAAAUAUCAAAUAGAGUUAUUUUUAUCUCAAACACCCUUGUGUGUUGUGUGAAUGUGUCUUCUUGAACGACUUGUUUGGAUUGGAGAAAAAUAAGGGAAGGAAAAUAAAAAAGAAUGGAAACUGAAGGAAUUAUCUACUCAUCACUUGUUUGCAAAGAAGGAAAACAAGGAUGAGAGAAAAUAAAUUAGGAAAAUAAUUUGUAGGAUCUACGAUUAAAUAGUAAUGAUUGAAAUUGUUUUUUAAUUCUUGUAAUAACUUAUUUUAAUUGUAAAAGCAAAGGUAAAAUAUAUAUUUUACUAUUUAAAAUAUUACUCUUCUUUUUUUCUUUUUUCCUUCCUAACAUCCAAAUAAGGGAAAAAAACUAAAUUUUAUUCCUUUUUAUUUUCCCUAAUCGCUUUUUCUCCCUUUGUUUUCUUCCCUUCUAAAAGUCUCUUGAACAUAGUGUAAGCUUCAUAGUGCAUUGACUGCUUCAAUAAGGAUAAAAUAGUGAAGCAAACAUGAAGACUAGGAAGGAGAAACUGCAAUAAAAUUAAAUGAGUUCUUGGAUCGUAACAUAAAAGAACACAAGAAGACACUGAUGAGUUGCAAAUUUGCAACUGAGUUAUUGCCAAUCACCUGAAUGGUGGCUCAUAAAAGCACCAGAAGGGAGGUGGUGUGUGGGUCAUGACAACCAUAGAAUGAGAAGGUUGGGGGAAGGUGGGUUGUGGAUCAUGAUAGAUAGAAGGAGAGGCAAGGUGUUAAUGAGGGUGGUUAUGGAUCAUGAGAGAGAGAGAGGGAGGAAGAGGGGGGGGGGGGGUUAAGCAUGAUAUGGGCAAUGUAAAUUCUAGUACAUUGUGGUUAGGUCAAUUAUGUUGUACGGUGGUGAAUGUUGGGCAUCUAAGGUAUACAUACCCACAAGACAAGUGUGACAUAAACACAUAUUAAAGGGAUAUAUGGAUAAGAUUAAAAAUGACCAUAUUGACUAGAAAGUGCAUGUAAUACAUGUCGAGGAUAGAAUGAGAAAUGGUUAAUUAAGAUGGUUUGGUCAUUUCUAACAUAGAGUAUCAAGUGCCUAAUUUGGAAGUGUGAUAAGUUCAUGGUAGGAGUGAGAAGAGAAAGGAGGAACCUAAAAUGACUUAGAGCAAGCAAUAUUAAGCGGUUUACAAUUUUUGGGUAUUGAGGUGGAAAUGGUUCCAACAAUGCUAAAUGCGAAAAAGGGAUUUCUACCGCCAACCCAAAUUAGUUUGUGAUUAAAGCUUUGUUGCAAUUAUUGUUUUCUACUUAUGCAACUGCAUUUAUGUUGUUAGCAGACCUAGUCUCAACAAGAUCUAGCUACAAGUGACAGUUGAUGCUGCCACGUGUUGCUGAAAUUUUAGUGUUGAUGCUAGGUUUCGAUUAUCAUUUUCUCAAGUUGUUAAUUGUUAUCUUAUUUUCAAGAGUCAUGUAGUUAGUGGUUAAGCCAUAUUCUUAGUGGUUAACCCAUGAUGUAGAUAGUGCAAAUUAGUUUUUGCUUUCCUGAGCAGUAGGAGAGUGAUUCUCCAUGUUGUUUAAUAGUUCCUGUUUUUAGGAGAUAGUUAUGUCUUCCCCUUCUAUUUAAGUGCAUGAGAAAAUUUUUCAAAACUUUUUAAGUACUUUCAGGUUCUCUUUAAGGAGUCUGUAGCAAAAAAAAAAUUGUCCCUAGAAAAUUUCAGCAGCAAGCCCAUAACCCUAUCCAUUUCUAAGGACCCUAACAUUUUGGUAUCAGAUGGGUUAUGGGCAACUUAAUUAAACAACUUAAUCGAAUUUUUGCUUUAUUCUUGGAAAAGUAAGCCGUCAACAGGGCACACCAAGAAUAAUUAAGUAUUAAGUUGGAAUCUCUUACCCGUGACAUUACCAACUCUAACCCAACAACACCUCUUAUAGAGAUUAUGAGUCAAGGGAGUAGUAGGAUCAGCGGGUUCACAUAAUUCAGGCAAUGUUAUGAUUGUUUCAAAAUUCACCAAAUUAGAUUUUUCUUGUUUCAAUGGUCAAAAAGAUCUUAAGUAGGUGUGAAUACUUAUUGCGAGACCAACAGACCUCGGAAGAAGAAAAGGUUAGUCUGGCUUCUUGUCAUUUGGAAUGUACAACUGAAUUGUGUUUUUUGCUGUUAAUAUAGGAUUUUCCUAACUUGACUUGGGAAAAGUUCAACUACCAAUGCAAUCUCUGUUUUGGGCCAUUGAUCCGUGUAAUAAAUUGGAGGAGCUAGCAAAAAUUAAAGCAGACAUGAACGGUUGCUAACUAUCAAACCCAAUUUGAGGUUUUUGUCUCUCACGCUAAAAGUCUCACCCAAGAUAAAAAGUAGAGUUUUAUUUUAGUGGGUUGCAAAAAUACAUUGAUGUGGAGGUGGAACUUCACCAACCAACAGGCCUAGUCAUAACCAUGAGCAUGUUAAGAUUCUAUGAAGGGAAAGAUUGGUCCAUUCGUGCUGCAAGUCUUCAAACAAUCAUUCAUCUCAACAAACAAUGGAAGCAAAAGAUGAUGACUCAAGAGAUGUUGUAAUGAACCCACCACCGGUUGAACAAUUCCUAGAAAUUUCCUAAGCGUGCGUUUGAGGACAAGUGCCUGCUGGAGGAAGGGAGUAAUGUUAGCAGACCCAGUCUCAACAAGACCUGACUACAAGUGAUAGCUCAUGCUGCCACGUGUUGCUGAAAUUUCAAUGUUGAUGCCAGGUUUCAUUUGUCAUUUUCUCAAGUUGUCAAGAAUUGUCCUAUUCUCAAGUAGGUAGUGGUUAAGCCAUGUUCUUAAGGGUUAAUUCAUGAUAUAGAUAGUUCAAGUUAGUUUUUGUAUUUUUUUAGUGGCAGGAGCAUGAUCCUCCAUGCUGUUUAAUGGUUUUCUAUUUUUAAGAGAGGGUUAUGUCUUAUUCUAGUAUUUAAGUGCAAUAACUCAAUAAAAGAAUUAUGAGAAAAUUUCCAUAGUUUUUGAGUAUUUUAACUCGAGAUUUUAAAGUUCUCUCUAAAGAGCAUGUUCCAUUGCAACUAUAGGUCCCAAAAAGAAAAUUUUGUUCCCAAAAAAUUCUAGCAACAGAUCCAUAACUCAUCCAUUUCUAAAGACCCUAACACAUGUAGUGAUUGUUUCAGUGAGAGUUGGCACUAUAAUCUUUUUUCUUUAGAUCUUCACCACUAGGGUCUAGAGUAAAAUUUUCCUAUAUGAGAUACGAAGUCAAUUAAUGUGCAAUAUAUUGUGUGAAUUGGACAUGAUGAACCACUUGCUAGUUCACUUUUACAUGAUUUUUAUAUUGAAUAUUCAAAGUUCUUUAGAUAAUCUAGUGCAUUGCGGUUCUAGCUAGACAUUUUGGUGGCAUAGGGUUGGCGAAUUGUUACACUUGCUAUUGUUGUUGUUAUUUUAUUAUUAUUAUUAUUAUUAUUAUUAUUAUUUUAAAAAAUCAAAGACGAAUUGCUUGUUCACUUUUGUGGUUUUGCACAUUCCCAUGAUGUUUCUAUUGAAAAUGUGAGUUCUUUAGAUGUUCCAGUGCACCAUAGGUCUGGUAAGAUGGACAUUAUGGUGGCAUAAUGAGUCCUUUCCUCAUAAAAGAGUGUUUUUGAAGGAAUGGAAUUACGAACUGUUCCCUAAAUAUGAAUGAUGUUUGAUCCAUUGUUUGCCUGCUUAACUAUUCCUCGGCAAAGUUGAUUGGAUGCAGGUAAGCAGAUUAUGCUUUACUAGAAAGAAGGUAGCUUUAGCAAAACUCUACUGUUAAAUUAUAGUGCUGACCUGUGAAUGAAACUGAUAGGGUAAACACCAUGAAUUAGAAAAUUGAGAAUACAGAUGGAGAGCCUCAUUUCUUAGCUAGUUCAAUAGAUAAAUGACUCCUGUUUGUCCACUUGCAAACAUUCAGCCGAUAGUCUUGUGCUUAGUAUUCCUUGUACUGUUACACAUAUAUAAGCUAGUCAUACCUUAAUAAAUCUUCUGCUUUUUUAUCAUUCAUUGCAUUUUGCUCACUUCCUCCUUUUUUCUUUUCUUUUCUUUUAUCUUUUAAUUUUCAGUAAGUUCCAACUCAACUUGGCUCUUCUACAUUGUUUGUUCUUCGCAUUUGCUAUUUUAGGCAUCUUCAGCUUAUUAUAUUGAUAAGUAAAAUAAUUAAAAAGCAAGAAAAAGCCUUUCGUUUUAACGAGUAUUUCUUUUGUUGGCCACAAAGCACUAAAAAUGGAGAGUGAUUAGCACCCUUUUCUUUAUCCUUUUAAGAAAAAAAAUAUUAGGUUUGGAAAGUACAGCUUUAUGAAUUCAAGUGGGGUUCUUGUUUCUAGUACAACAUCACAAUUAGCAACGAGU